GUAAAACCGGCACGUAGCUUGCAGGGGAAAACAUGGCGGUGUGUUCAUGGCUCUUUCCGGGUGGACUUGGCGUCACGGCGGCCAUGAUAGAUGUUUUCUAUCCUCCGUGGAGUUACUGUGAGGAGUUUGAAAAUAAGAAGGACGGCAGUUUCACACCGACGUCACGGUGGACGCUGGAGAUGGUGAACACGCCAAACGUGGAAGACUCUUCAUCGUGAGGACGUCAGCAAGCCGGCGUUUGCCUAAAUAUCUGCGGGUCAUUUCAACGUGGACGGUUUCUGGUCACCUCCCGUCCCAGAGCUCGCGGGAGGGACCGUUUGUCCGACGCGUGGGCCUUCCUUCAUCUGUAGCCUGUUAAUCCGGCUCCCUCCCAACUGGC
ensembl:lncRNA